rnacentral:lncRNA from 1 species
GCGGCUGAGCCAGCAGUACGGCCUCUCCAAGGGCAGCAACGAGGUGCUCCUGGUGAUCGAGGCCUACAAGACGCUGAGGGACAGGGCUCCCUACCCCGCCAGCUUCAUGCUCUCCCAGCUCGCCGGCAGCUACGCUUUCGUGCUCUUCGACAAGUCCACAUCCUCCCUCUUCGUCGCAUCCGUAAGCUCGAUCAUGUCUAGGAAUACAUUUCUACAGUAGCAGGGAGGUUUAUCGUGGCCGUGCUUAUUUCUUGCUAAUUUUGUUGGUCGAUCAGGACCCGGAGGGCAAGGUACAGCUCUUCUGGGGAAUCACCGCCGACGGCUGCGUCGCCUUCUCCGACGACAUCGACCUGCUGAAAGGAUCUUGCGGCAAAUCACUGGCGCCUUUCCCGCAAGGCUGCUUCUACUGGAACGCCCUUGGAGGCCUCAAGUCGUACGAGAAUCCCAAGAACAAGGUGACCGCUGUGCCUGCAGAUGAGGAGGAAAUCUGUGGUACAACCUUCAUGGUAAGUAGUGGCACGUUGAUGAUUAUUACUUACUACUCAGCUGGGAAGGAAUGAAAAUGAUAGUCACGAGAACUUGGCUAAACCUAUCUGAAAUUCUUCCUUGUGCAGGUGGAAGGAUCUACCGUUCUCGCGGCACUUCAGUAGGAGAUUCUCUCGUCUCCGUCGCUGGGCAAAGCAGGCAACACCGGUCGUGUGUAGGUGGUGGUGGUGUAAUAUAAUGCAACAAGGCGCGUGUGCUACUCUCUCUUGUGAUCUUAUGGGAACUGUUCGGUUGUGUAUCUGAUCAUCUGUAUCUCUAGCUCUUCAAAUUCUCGCAGUGGAUUCAAGACCGG